rnacentral:lncRNA from 1 species
UAGCACAACUCCAAGAUCCUGGGACACUCAGUCCUCUCUACCUCUCAAGCAGGCAGCUCAGCUUCUAUACAUGGGGGCUGGUUUCCAAGAGGUUGAAAAUGGAAGAUCUCAAGACCCCUGAGACCUGAGCAUUGAAGUCACACAUAACUUUCCUGCAUUCUCUUGGUCAGACAAGUCCCAAGACUAGCCCAGCUCCAAGAAGUGUGGAAAUAGGCUCCACCUCCUGAUGAAGGGAGUUUUCAUUAAUUUCCGGCCAAGUUUAAUCUGUCACCCAGGGUACUUAUAGUGCCUAUGGUUUACAUAAUCAAAAAUAUAAAUGCAAUUCUCUAACAAUGACAAAAUUUUCUAGUGGUACAUAUUUAUUCACACAGCUACUUAUGUGUUAAUGUGUUUAUGCAGAUAAGGAUGUUGACCAAAAAAUUAGGUAGGAAAGGAGGGCAGGUAUAUUUAUUAUUUUCCAAUUUGAGAGAUAAAACUACAAAAAAAAACAAAGCUUUUAGAGAGGGCACCAUGCUAGGGAAACUGGGGCCCCCACCUUGGCCCCAGAGGGCUGGGCCCCAAGCAGCCAACCUCCCACAUAUGGCUACACACACACACACACACACACACAAUGUUCUUAGACAAUAAAUUUGGUUUCUUUUUUCACAAAAUUUGUGUUUCUAAAUAAGUUAGAGUUAUUAUUCUAUUUAAUCAGAUUGCCUUGGGAAAUCUUUGUUACAAUAGUUCUCAACCUGGUUGCAUUAUUGAAUCUCCCAGAGAAUCCUCAACCCCUGAAGAUUCUGAUGCAAUUGGUAGAGAAAGGAAAAAUCAUUUAUUCAGUAUACUUCAGCUUUUUAAGUUAUGACCCUAAUCCACAAAAGAUGUACCCUCUCUGAAUCUCAGACCUUGGAGCAUGAAAUUUUUCUGAUUUUCUGUUCAGUUCCAGGCACAGUUUGGGAAUCCAAGUAAAAAUUACACUUUCUGUGGUCAUCUGACCCCAGAAUUGUUUACUCAAGUCCUGAUAAACAAUCUUUCUGUGAUCCUUCUAAAUCCUUCAUUUAGAGGCUGCAAAAUGGUGGCCCACAAGCUAGAAAUGACCCAAGUUUUAUUUGACUUGUAUACAUACUGGUGGCCCAAACAGGACAUUUUAAAAAGGGGGUUGGGGGAGAGGAGUUAGGUGCCCACAUUUAUAAAUCAGGAGGUUUCACCUUAAGAACAGAGAGAGGCUUCUCUUGAAAAUGCUAAUGAUCUGAGAACACACAGCGAAGCUGAUAGGUUCUGGUCAGCCCCGGCCCUGUUUCUCAGUCCUCCUCGGUUUUCAUACCUGGCUGCCUUCGCUCAUUUACAAAAUCUGUCUCAACUCUGUAAGCAUUUGAGUUGGCACCCUUGGUCUAGUUCCAUAGCAGCUGCCAUUUUAUAACUGAAGAUUCUGAGGCCUAGAGUCUUAAGUGGCAUAGGUGAGGUUGGGUCCCUACGCUGUAACUGGCAGCACAUCUACAUUUAAUUUGGUUUUCAUUUCAAUCCUGAGAGGAAGGCUUUACUAGCCACCAUUCGUAAAUGAUGGAACAGAGGCUCAAAGAGGUUGAGUAAUCUGCCCAUAGGUAUACAUAGUUGGUAAGAGACAGAGCUGAUAUUCAAAUCCACAUCUUUUAAAAAAAAAUUUUAUUAAAGUAUAGUUGAUUUACAGUGUUCUGUCAAUUUCUGCUCUACAGCAAAGUGACCCUGUCAUGCAUAUGUGUACAUUCUUUUUCUCAUACUAGCUUCCAUCAUGGUCUAUCACAAGAGAUUGGAUGUAGUUCCCUGUACUGUACAGUAGGACCUCAUUGCAUAUCCAUUCCAAAUGUAGUAGUUUGCAUCUACUAACCCCAAACUCCCUGUCCAUCCCACUCCCUCCCCUGCCCUUGGCAACCACAAGUUUGUUCUCUAUGUCAGUGAGUCUGUUUCUGUUUUGUAGAUAGGUUCAUUUGUGCCAUAUUUUAGAUUCCACAUAUAAGUGGUAUCAUAUGGUAUUUGUCUUUCUCUUCCUGACUUAUCUCACUUCGUAUGAGACUCUCUAGUUGCAUUCAUGUUGCUGCAAAUGGCAUUAUUUCAUUCUUUUUAUGGCUGAGUGGUAUUCCAUUGUGUAUAUGUACCACAUCUUCUUAAUCCAUUCGUCUAUUGAUAGACAUUUAGGUUGUUGGGUCUAAAACUAGGUUCUUGGUGACCCUAGAGGCUAUUCUUUUUUUUCUUUUUUUUUUUUUUGGCUGCACCCACAGCAUGCAUAAGUUCCCAGGUCAGGGAUUGAACCCUUGCCACAACAAUGACAACAUCCAUUCUUGCCCACUGUGAUGACUGCUUUUCCUUGCCUCCAAUCCCACUUCACCUCCUCUUCCCCCCAACACCCAUUUUACCUGUGUAUUAGCACAUACCAACAUUUCCUGCAUCCUCUCUCUCACCUCUGAGCCUCUCCAGCAACUUAUAGCUCUCUGUUAGUCCCAAAGCCCAUAUUCCCAUAUCACACAGCAUAUCACAGUCAUAAAGUAACCUGUUCUGUGGCAGGAAGGGGUCCAAUUACAACCCGUAUAAUUGGCAAAAGAGUCAUUCCUCAUAGCAAUCAUGGGCUUGGUGGUCAUCAGAGCAAUUACAUUUGUUGGACAUUUUCCUGUUUGCUUCAGCCAUCCCUUCAUCAGCGUCCUUUACAGAUCCCGGUGGACUCACUGAGACAUUUCACAAGUUAUCAAAUACAUGCAUUAAGGAUUGCUAAUAGCAGCCAAGGAGCAGAAAUCAUUAUGUGAGAAUAAAAUGCAUUGUGUAAAAAGAAAUUCUGGAGUGACAGAGGGGAAAAGGGGUAAUUUUUUUCCCUCCUACCGACCAUAGCUAAGGCCCAGUGGAAUUACUAUCUUGCAUGGAAGAAACCCUCUACAUCCUAUAAAUCUGAAAAAAUAGCAUGAUGGGAAUCUGGUUGCCUUGCUACUUGAACCAAUAUUUCCACGUUGUGUGUUGAUUUUCUCUAUGUCAUUAAAGAAGCAGCCAGUGGUUUUCUAGGGAGCAAACUUUCCCCUGUCAAGUUGGGGAGACAAGCCCAAUGGCCUCAUCUCUACCGUUCACAUAAAAUAAUUUGGUUUGAAUUUGAUUGGUCUGUGUGCUUCCAACUACUGUGGGAAAGAUGGAAACAAUUUAAUAGAUGUAUAGAAUUUUAGAAUAGAAUAGAAUAGGGAAAAAUAGAAUUUUAUAAGGACAGUAUCUGGUUCAAAGAUCCCAUCCUGGUUCCCAGUGGUCAGACCUGACUCGCAGAUGUGUUUUGUAGGAACUACACAAGAUUUUGGUAAAAAGUGAGACUUGAUUACCAACAUUUAAAAAUCAAGCGAUUUCAUUUUUUAAAAAAAUGUUACUUUUUGGCUUUUCUUAAUUUUUUUUUUUAAUCUGGAAAUUCUGAGCCAGCACCCUGUGACAAGAGUUGGCUGGUAAUGCAGAGAAGCUGCCUCUUUAGACAAAGGGGAUCUGCUCCUGGAAGUUUUCAGAUCCACCAACCUCUAUUGUCUCCCCAGUUCUCAGGCCAACAGGCAGUUGUCACAUCACUCAUUUACAUUUUAGAUACACAGAAAAUUUAAGUAAUGUGCCCAAGGUCAUUAAUUCCAUUUAUCCAACAAAUCUUUAUGGAGGCACAGACUCUUCGCCAGGUACUAAUCCAGGCACUAGGCAUACAGCUGUGAAAAAAACAACUCACAGUCUGGUCCUAUAGGGUUGACAUCCAGUGGGAGACCCAAACAGUAAACAAAAUCAUGAAAAGGUAGAGAAUGACAAAUGUUGAUAAGUACCAUGAAGAAAAAUCAAGCAGGCAAAUAGAAGAGGCAGUGGUGAAGAGUCACAAUUUAAGUGGGAGGAUGAGGAAGGCCUCUCUAAAAAGGUGAGUGGCAUUUGAGCACAACAAGCUCAAAAGAUGGGAAGGAGGGAGCCAUAUUCAUUUUUAUUUUUUGUCUUUUUAGGGCUGCACCCGCAUAUGGAAGUUCCUGGGCUAGGGGUCUAAUCAGAGGUGCAACUGCUGGCCUAGACCACAGCCACAGUAACUUGGGAUCCUUAACCCACUGAGCUGGGCCAGGGAUCAAACCCACAUCCUCAUGUUCACUAGUCAGGUUCUUUACCACUGAGCCACAAUGGGAACUCCCAUAUUUUUAGAGGGGGAGCAUUCCAGGCAGGAGUAGCAGGACCUGCAACGGACAUAAGAUGUUAAAACCAGUACUAGGACUUAAACCAGGGCCAGGUUGUUCUUCCAAUGAGAGGUGAUGUCACUGGCCAUUAACCCUCAGCAGUUGUCCCAGGAUAUGCUUUUCCAGAAUACCUGCCAUCUGUGUCCUCAUGGAAACCUAAAACACCCUCAGUGAAAAUCCAGAUUUAUGCCAAAGAUAAAAUGCAAAGGGAUUAUUCACUUUACCCAGGGCCUCACAAUAGGAGCCUUUUAUUCAGGAAACUCCCCUAGUACAUGUAAAAUGGUUUUUUUGAUUUGGAGUUGUGAUUCUCACACUUUUUUGAAAACCCAUUUAUUGCACAAAGGAGGGAACCCCUAUAGUGUGGAUGGAUUUAGGCUGAGCCAGCCAUACUCCCUCACAGGUCCUAGGGUCCCCCUAUACCUCCUAACAGGAGUCCUUUGCAAGCUGCACAGCUAAGGUUGGGAGCAUCCUGGGUGGAAGCAAGUGCCAACUGACUGAACUCCACAAUCCUGGGCUGUAGCCAAAAGAACUGGGCACUAACUUUGCCUAUACACACCAUCUACUGUAGUAGCUGCUGCUACAGCCACUCUGCCCUCCUCCCAACUCACCCCACCCCACCCCACAGGGCUUCAUUCAAAGCUGUGCCUGUGGGGGUUGCCCCAUUGUUUUUUUCAGGUGUUGUUGUUAGAGUUUAUUGUUUUUCAGAUUCAAAAAAUACACAAUGGAGGAUUUAGAAAACACAAAGAAGAAUAAAUUGUUUUUUAAAAAAACAUCCAUAACUCCAUCAUGCAGAGAAAACCAUUGGUAUCCAGCCUGGCUGGCUACUCAUUGUUGAAUUUGUAGGGAUUUUAUUGACAGUCCUCUUGUCUGUCUCCAAAAAAGCUUCUUUACCAUGACACCAUUCCCCUCAAGAAUGCUGAAUGCAAAGGCUUGGAUGUGGGUAAAUCAAAGAGGAAGGAAGGAGGUGAACUCAAACUGGCUGGUGAAAUUCAAGCUCCCAAUGUCCUCAUCUGUAACCAGCUGGGCAGAUGCUGAAUCUAUGGAUGGAGAGAGGGGCUUUCUAGAUGAGAAGGUGCAACGCGGAAGCUGGGCUUCAGGCAGAGGCUGGGACUGCCACGCCGCUUCCCCCCACCCCCCACCCCCCAGCGUGAGAUUGCAGGAGGGGGUGGUUACAGCAUUGUGCAAGGUAGGAAGACCCAGAUCCUUCUCUUCCAGGGUCUAGAUGUGCUAUGAAGGGCUUGGCUCUGCAUGAUGGCCCUCAGGAAUCCAGCUCUGUGGUGAGAGGCUGCCUUACUUCCUCAAUCUAUCAGUCCUACCAGUGCUGCAGGCACCCCCCACUCCAAACAGUAAUGCCACAGUGAUGGUGGUAACAGUGCUGGGAAGGGCUGGAUAUGAUCAUUACAGAAGCAGAAUGUAUCAGUCAGCCCUUGUCACAGCAAUGCUCUAUGACAAAACUAUCCUAAAAUAAAGUGGCUGAAAACAGUGAUCAAUUAUUCUUACUUAAGCAUCUAUGGGUUGUCUGGGAAUCAGCUGACCUAAGUCAGGCUCAGAUCAGCUGGGUUUCAAACUGCUAAAAGGUAUCAUCUCCAUAUCUCUCUAACCCACCUUGGAUCAAUGGAAUAUGUAGAUUAAAUUCUUCCUGUGCCAAUGGCAAAAGCUCAGGAACAUAAACUAAAUUUCAAGGUGCAUUUCAAGCCUUGGCUCACAUCUUUGCUUCACAUCUUUUCUGAGAGGACAAGAUAAGGUAGUAGGAAAGUGGUGCUGUCUGCUUGCUACUAAAUGCUAGUUCAAGCUAUGCAACCCACCUCAUGUCUGAAAUUCAUUUAUCCUUACUACUUGUGUUUCUUUAAAAUUCUUCUGAGCAUUGCAAACCAACCCUUAAUAUGUUAUGAUAAAUAUGAAGACUUUGUCCUCUCUGUUUCAUAUAAGUGAGCAGAGGCUUCCUAAGUUCUGCUCAAUGGUAAGAAAUAUAAAUAGUUUGUUACAGCAAAUGGAUUUUAGGUAAGAUAUAGGAAAGAAUUCCUUAAACAAGACAUCCAUGACAUUAUGGAAACUCCUUUGGUGGAAGUUUUUAAAACAGCUCAAUCUGGAUUUCCCUUCAUGACUCAGAAGUUAACAAACCCAACUAGGAUCCAUGAGGACGCAGGUUUAAUACCUGGCCUCACUCAGUGUGUUAAGGAUCCGGCAUUGCCUUGGGCUGUGGUGUAGGUCAGAGAUGCAGUUCAGAUCCCAUGUUGCUGUGGCUGUGGUGUAGGCUGACAGCUGUAGCUUUGAUUUGACCCCUAGCCUGGGAAAUUCCAUAUGCCACACCUGCGGCUCUAAAAAAAAAAAAAAAAAAAAAA